rnacentral:rRNA from 1 species
AGAGUUUGAUCAUGGCUCAGAGCGAACGCUGGCGGCGUGCUUAACACAUGCAAGUCGAGUGCGCGUCUGUAGCAAUACAGAUGGCGCACGGCGCACGGGUGCGUAACACGUGGGUAAUCUGCCCUUCGAUGGGGAAUAACUCGCCGAAAGGCGAGCUAGUUCCGCAUAACAUUCCUUGAACCUCGGUUUGGGGACUCAAAGCCGCAAGGCGUCGGAGGAGGAACCCGCGCACGAUUAGCUAGUUGGUAGGGUAACGGCCUACCAAGGCUUUGAUCGUUAGCUGGUCUGAGAGGAUGGCCAGCCACACUGGAACUGAGACACGGUCCAGACUCCUACGGGAGGCAGCAGUGGGGAAUCUUGCACAAUGGGCGAAAGCCUGAUGCAGCGACGCCGCGUGGGGGAUGAAGCUUUUCGGAGUGUAAACCCCUUUCGACCCGGACGAAUGCCCCGCAAGGGGACUGACGGUACGGGUAUAAGAAGCCCCGGCUAACUACGUGCCAGCAGCCGCGGUAAGACGUGGGGGGCCAGCGUUGCUCGGAAUUACUGGGUGUAAAGGGUUCGUAGGCGGUGUAGCAAGUCGGGAGUGAAAUCUCUGGGCUCAACCCAGAGACUGCUUCCGAAACUGCUGUGCUUGAGUGUGGGAGAGGCGCGUGGAAUUGCAGGUGUAGCGGUGAAAUGCGUAGAUAUCUGCAGGAACACCCGUGGCGAAAGCGGCGCGCUGGACCACUACUGACGCUGAGGAACGAAAGCUAGGGGAGCAAACAGGAUUAGAUACCCUAGUAGUCC